CCUGGUUCCCAGUAACAACAGGUAAAGGCUGGUUCUCUGAGACUCAUAAUGAAUACACCCCCUGGUUCCCAGUAACACCAUGUAGAGGCUGGUUCCCAGUAACACCAUGUAAAGGCUGGUUCUCUGAGACUCAUAAUGAAUACACCCCCUGGUUCCCAGUAACACCAUGUAGAAGCUGGUUCUCUGAGACUCAUAAUGAAUACACCCCCUGGUUCCCAGUAACACCAUGUAAAGGCUGGUUCUCUGAGACUCAUAAUGAAUACACCCCCUGGUUCCCAGUAACACCAUGUAGAAGCUGGUUCUCUGAGACUCAUAAUGAAUACACCCCCAGG
ensembl:lncRNA